AACAGACAGAACAUGAAUAAAUCAUUUGGCCUGCAUCACUUGAGAAGAGAUCUAGCCAAAUGUUCACGGGCAGUGGCUAGGGCUUGAGAAAUAGUCUGCUCAGAGAAGGAUGUUGCACCUUCCAAACCAUGUGUCGCUACUUUACCAGCAAUGACGCUCGAUUCGGUUUCCAAGACAAUACCUCCAUCAACAAUUUCGUCGAGGCAUAAAAGGAUCAAAUCCAGGUUCUCAAGUGCUGUCCUCUUGUCGACAUUGCUCCUCAGAAGAAGGCCAACUGCAUCAAAAAA
rnacentral:misc_RNA from 1 species